rnacentral:piRNA from 1 species
GUGACGACAUUCUCUGUUCCUUU